UUGUUUAACCAUCAGCCAGAACAAGCAUCAGGGUCACAUCAAUUGCAGUUAAACACUAAUUAAAUCAAUAACCAAUAUAUUAUUUCAAGUGUGCACAAAAU